GGUUCCAUAGUGUAGUGGUCAUCACGUCUGCUUUACACGCAGAAGGUCCUGGGUUCGAUCCCCAGUGGGAUCA